UAUUAUUGCCACGAGGACGAAUCCAUUAAUUUGCUCGUAUCAAUAACCUGUUGACGUCAAUGCAUUUCGCCUGAAGCAAAAUGGCGAUGUUUCAUUUUAGCAAAACACAAGGCGAUGAACAGCUUCAAGAUCAAGAGAUUCCUAAAACAGCUGAAGACAUUUCCUAGCACUUGUCUUGCUGAGUGCUUUUGUAUUCUAUCGAGUCCGUUCUAGUUAAUGGCGCCAGCGCCAUCCCAAGGGAACACAUUUCUAAUUAAUAUACCAAAAAAAAUCCAAUAAAGUUAACGACUAGCAAAAUGAAUUAUCAUAAGCAUAAAAUUAAGACGUCGAGAAGUUUUUGGAACAAUAGAAUUUUGAGCGUUUAACCCAAAUACCCUGAGGCGUUGGCGAAAUAAACAAUUUUCUCAGUUGAACUCGUGCUUGUGGCCUGUUGAAAAUGUUCUGUGAAAAAUACAAUUACAAGGGAAAUGAUUCGUCAAAGUGUCCCCCUCUAAUUAAGUCUUUGUUGUUUUGAACGAGUUCCUUGGAGAGUCAUUUAUUUUCGCUUUGUCUAAUUGACGUUUAUUCAGCAUUGCUAUUCUGAGGGGGCAGGAAAACUGUUUUCUGGGCUCUUGAUCAAUCAAUUCGCAGGAGUCUUGUUUUGACAAGCAUAGCGUGUUAGCUGAUCUCGAACUAUUAUAAAAGAGCAUCGCACUUUCGAGAUGGAUUUGCUAACCUUGAAAACAUGUAACCGGGCCCAAUCGCUCCCGCAAUUGGAGAUGGACACAACAACACACACCACGAAAUCGUCACCGAAAGAUAGACCAGGGGGCAAUAAAUCAAGCAGUCACCUCAAAAUACCUGACAUUCAACUAGAGGGAGAAACACUAGACAUUGACCCAGACAUUCCCGAGAUACACCGCGCGGUGUUAGAGGGUAACCUUCAGCGACUGAUCGAGUUAGUAGAGUCUGGUACUAGUGUGAAUACCCCUGAUCUCGAAGGCUGGCCACCCCUGCACACCGCUAUCAAGCACCAGCAUUAUGACUGCGCACAGUACCUCAUCAAACAUGGCGCCAACGAUUACUUUGAAAGACAACAGGAGGAGUAUAGAAAGCGCUUAAAUUUGUCGAGUAGAAUCGUCAAAGGACGACUGUAUUCGUUUUGAUAAAACUUUGCCAUCAAAGGAAUAGUUGUUUCUGGAUGAGUCAAGCUUGCAGGCUAUUACCCAUUGCGCUAAAUGGUUUAACUAAAAAGACUGCAGACUGGCAGUAGAAAAACUAGAUUGUCUGCGUUGGUAUGAUGUAGAGCUAUAAAUCAACACAAGGUUAAAAAAAACGUAUGUUGUACGCCUCUGUAGAACAAAUACAUUGCGCCACGCUGUCAAAUAGGAUUGUGUGUUUGCAAAAUCAGUCCUUUGCCUGCAAACAGGUUGCACUAAAGACAGUAGACAUGAUACGGAAUUUCAUUCGAGCAAAUUAAAGAUGAAAAGAUGGAAAGCGGCAUUUAGGGGUUACUGCACUUUAUUAGUUAUUUAGUUUAUCUGUAUUUAGCUCUAACUUAAUGUUCUCUUCAAUCAAAUGUAUUUUUUUAGAUAGAAUUUCAAUUUUUACUUUUGCUGUGAUAUUGUCGUUAAAUUUCGCACACAACGCUCAACAAAUUACAUAUAAUGCAUUUAUUGUGAAUGUUUAAAAUCUGUAAAUAAAACAAAGCCUUACCUUCU